rnacentral:sRNA from 1 species
GCCAGUUGCGGUGGUGCACACCUGUAAUCCCAGCAGCUCAGGAGGCUGAGGCAGGAGGACUGUGAGUUCAAAGUCAGCCUCAACAACAGUGAGACACUAGGCAACUCGGUGAGAUCCUGUCUCUAACAAAAUACUAAAUAGGGGUGGGGAUAUGGCUCAGUGGUUAAGUGCCCUUGAGUUCCCAGUACCCCGCCUCCC